rnacentral:rRNA from 1 species
AUUGAACGCUGGCGGCAGGCCUAACACAUGCAAGUCGAGCGGCAGCGGGAAAGUAGCUUGCUACUUUUGCCGGCGAGCGGCGGACGGGUGAGUAAUGCCUGGGAAAUUGCCCAGUCGAGGGGGAUAACAGUUGGAAACGACUGCUAAUACCGCAUACGCCCUACGGGGGAAAGCAGGGGACCUUCGGGCCUUGCGCGAUUGGAUAUGCCCAGGUGGGAUUAGCUAGUUGGUGAGGUAAUGGCUCACCAAGGCGACGAUCCCUAGCUGGUCUGAGAGGAGUAUCCGCCACACUGGAACUGGGACACGGUCCAGACUCCUACGGGAGGCAGCAGUGGGGAAUAUUGCACAAUGGGGGAAACCCUGAUGCAGCCAUGCCGCGUGUGUGAAGAAGGCCUUCGGGUUGUAAAGUACUUUCAGCGAGGAGGAAAGGUUGAUGCCUAAUACGUAUCAACUGUGACGUUACUCGCAGAAGAAGCACCGGCUAACUCCGUGCCAGCAGCCGCCGUAAAAC